AGAUGUGAGGGCGAUCUGGCUGUGACAUCUGUCACCCCAUUGACCGCCAGGGUUGAUUCGGCUCAUCUGGCUGGCUAGGCGGGUGUCCCCUUCCUCCCUCACUGCUCCAUGUGUGUCCCUGCUGAAGCUGCGCAUGCGGUCCAAGAGGACGGCCUUCCCCCGAAUAGAGACGGUCUUCAGUAGAGGGUAUACGAGUAGUUGCGCUCGCCUGCUAGAACCUCCAAAUAGGCUCUCAAGGUCCAAAUUGGGAUAUGAAAAAUGUACUGCUACGAACAGUGGUAAACAUAUAUCUCUUCAUAUAGGCAUCCUUGCUUCCUUU
rnacentral:snRNA from 1 species